UGGGGAAUCUUGGACAAUGGGCGCAAGCCUGAUCCAGCCAUGCCGCGUGAGUGAAGAAGGCCUUCGGGUUGUAAAGCUCUUUUUACCAGGGACGAUAAUGACGGUACCCGCAGAAUAAGCCCCGGCUAACUUCGUGCCAGCAGCCGCGGUAAUACGAAGGGGGCUAGCGUUGUUCGGAAUUACUGGGCGUAAAGCGCACGUAGGCGGACUCUUAAGUCAGGGGUGAAAUCCCGGGGCUCAACCUCGGAACUGCCUUUGAUACUGAAAGUCUCGAGACCGGAAGAGGUGAGUGGAAUUCCUAGUGUAGAGGUGAAAUUCGUAGAUAUUAGGAAGAACACCAGUGGCGAAGGCGGCUCACUGGUCCGGUUCUGACGCUGAGGUGCGAAAGCGUGGGGAGCAAACAGGAUUAGAUACCCCUGUAGUCCCUGAGCGGGCUGGCAAGGC
rnacentral:rRNA from 1 species